GGCAGCAGUGGGGAAUCUUGCGCAAUGGACGAAAGUCUGACGCAGCGACGCCGCGUGGAGGAUGAAGGCCCUCGGGUCGUAAACUCCUGUCAGGUGGGAAGAAGGGGGAGUCGGUUAAUACCCGGCGCCUCUGACUGUACCACCGGAGGAAGCCCCGGCUAACUCCGUGCCAGCAGCCGCGGUAAGACGGAGGGGGCAAGCGUUGCUCGGAAUCGCUGGGCGUAAAGGGCAAGCAGGCGGGCCUGCAAGUCAGAUGUGAAAGCCCUCGGCUCAACCGAGGAACUGCAUCUGAAACUGCAGGGCUUGAGUUCAGGAGAGGUGAGCGGAAUUCCCGGUGUAGCGGUGAAAUGCGUUGAUAUCGGGAGGAACGUCGGAGGCGAAGGCGGCUCACUGGACCGAUACUGACGCUCAGAGGCGAAAGCUAGGGGAGCGAACGGGAUUAGAUACCCCGGUAGUCCUAGCUGUAAACGUUGGGCACUUGGUGUAGUGGGUACCGACCCCCGCUGUGCCGCAACUAACGCGUUAACUGCCCCGCCUGGGGAGUACGGUCGCAAGGCUGAAACUCAGAUGAAUUGACGG
rnacentral:rRNA from 1 species